UGUGUAUUUAUUUAUUUUUUUUUUUUUUUUUUUAUUUUUUGGUUUUUUUCGUGACAGGGUUUCUCUGUGUAGCCCUGGCUGUCCUGGAACUCACUAUGUAGACCAGGCUGGCCUCGAACUCAGAAAUCUGCCUGUCUCUGCCUCCCGAGUGCUGGGAUUAAAGGCGUGCGCCACCACGCCAGGCGUCUGUAUUUCUUUAAGGGAGUUAUUUACGUCCUUCUUAAGUCCUCUAGCACCAUCAUGAGAAGUGAUUUUAGAUUCGAAUCUUGCUUUUCUGGUGUGAUGGUGUAACCAGGACUUGCUGUGGUGGGAGUACUGGGUUCUGAUGAUACCAAGUUACCUUGGUUUCUGUUGCUUAUGUUCUUAUGCUUGCCUCCCACCAUCUGAUUAUCUCUAGUGCAACCUGCCCUCGAUAUAUCUGACUGGAGCCUGUCCUUCCUGUGAUCCUGGUUGUGUCAGAACUUCUCAGAGUUCAGCUGUCUCUGUGAUCCUCUGAUUCUGGGAUCCUGUAAUCCUGAGGUCCUGGGUGUGUCCAAGCUCCUGGGAGUCAAGCUGCCUCUGGGACCCUGAGAUCCUGGUGUGACCAAGCUCCUGGGAUCCUGUGGACCUGGACAUAUUAGAGAGCCUGGGAGUGGAGCUUUUUCUGAGUGUUGUAGGACUGGCUGUAGAGUUUGUGCCCAAGGUCUGCUCAGGGCACCUCUGAUCCUGUGAUCCUGAGUGGAUCUUCCUCUGGGUGUUGUGGGACUGAUUGGGGAGUUCUCACUCAAGGUCUGCUCAGGGCACCGGCCCAAAGUGGAAGCUAUACUUAAUGUUCUUUUUUUUUUUUUUAAAGAUUUAUUCAUUUAUUUUAUGUAUAGCAAUGAGUACACUAUAGCUGUACAGAUGGUUGUGAGUCUUCAUGUGGUUGUUGGGAAUUGUAUUUAGGACCUCUGCUUGCUCUGGUCAACCCCGCUCAUUCAGUCCCUGCUCUCUCUGACCCAAAGAUUUAUUUAUUAUUAUAAAUAAAUACACUGUAGUUGUCUUCAGAUGCAGCAAAAGAGGGCAUCAGAUCUCAUUACAGGUGGUAGUGAGCCAUCAUGUGUUUGCUGGGAUUUGAACUCAGGACCUUCUGAAGAGCAGUUAGUGUUCUUAUCCGCUGAGCCAUCUCUACAGCCCCCAUACUUAAUAUUCUUAACAUUCUAAAACAUUGUGUGACCUUCAGUAAAGGAUUGAUCCACAUGCUCAGUUGAAACAACGGAUGUAGUGACUUAACAGACAGUGCUCUCCUAAGACCAAAUCCUUACCGCCAUGACCCCUUACUUGAUGCUUUGUACACGGCUCUGUCCAGUCCGUAGGUGCUAAUGUCUCAGUUUGUGUUCACGCAGCUCUGCGAUAUCAGUGGGCGCUAUCUAUCAAGGAAGACGCUAAGACUUAGUUUCAGUAACAAGGAGGCUGUCUUGAACCGCAAGCCUAGGAGGCUUCAUCACAACGCACUGAGCUCUACACCGCGGCGGCACCGUGCUGUAGAGGCUCCCUGUGCAUUUGGAGACCUUUAGAGACAGUUAAGGAGGCUGCCGUUUAUGGGUAAAAACAAUGAUGGCAGGCGUCUACCUAACUUCCAGGAUGUAUUUGUGUGUGUUACAAAGAAGCAUUUGGUAAAUAUGGAACAUACAUAUUUUUUCCGGCAGCUGUAGAAAGAGAUUAUUUACUUACUUGUGGUACUGGGGAUUAAACCAAUGAGUGUGUGCUGCUUAGUUUUUGUCAUACUUGACACAAACUAUAAAGUCAUUUGGGAACAGGGAACUGUAAUGAGAAAAUAAUGCCGCCAUAAUAGAAUUUGCCUGUAGGCAAGUCUGUGGGGAAUUUUCUUGAUUACUGACUGAUGUAAGAGUCUCCAGACAAAUGGAUAGUACACUUCUGAGCAGGCGGUCCUCAGCCGUGUGCAAAGCAAACUGAGCAAAGGAUGGGGGCAAGCCAGCACGGAGCGUUCACUCCUCCAUGGUCUGUCUCCACUUCAGUUCCUGCCCUGAACGGGGAUGUAGGAGGAUAUACUAGAUAAAAAAACAAACUACAGUAAUGCAUCUGCCAGGCACAUUCUCUACCAUUAAGCUAUGUAACCUGCUUCCCAAAAGAAUCUUUCUAGUAUGGCUUAUGUACUUCACUAGGUAGCUCUUACACUUGGUCACCUUGGCCUGAGUUUGCUGUGUUGAAACGCACAGGAUACCUUAAGGUCUGGGCUUUCAGACAAAUCUUAGGAAUAUUAUCCAAAAAAAUCUUAUUCAUUAUACUACUUUACCAACUUUAGUGUAAUGUGAAUUAUUAAAUAUAAAGUUAGAGAAAUUUUUCUUUAGAAAAGUAAAUUUAUAAUUAUGCUGAGAAGUUUUUUUACUUUUUGUUUUGUUUCUGCUUUUAAGUUAAAUGAUCUCUGUGGGGGCAGGUAGGAAAAAAAAUGCCAAAAGAUAAAUCUGUUUUUCAUGUAUAUCUUUUCACACUUUGGACAGAUAGAUCUUUAUAUUAUUGUCUAUAAAGUAGUACCUUUCAUUUGUCGUUAAGGAAAUAAAUUUAAGCUGGUGGUAUUAUCACACAACAUUAAUCCCAGUGCUCAGAAGGCAGAGGCAGGCAGAUCUGAGUUCUAGGCUAGCCUGGUCUACAGAGAGAGUCCCAGGACAGCCAGUACUACACAGAGAAACUCUGUCUCAAAAAAAGGAAGAAAAGAAAAAAGGUUUAUUAGACAUAGUGCAGGGACAGCUGUCUAAUAGGGAACUGAGUACUGCCCACCUGAACUCCCCUGUAUCAGUAUAGAAAGUGGCAAGCCUUGAAAGCUGCCUUGCCUUCACAUGCAGGUCUGUUAUGUUUAACAAGUGAACAGAAAGGUCCCGACUGUUUUACAGAGGUUAAGUGAUAGUGUCCAGUUGUCCUUUUAUGUUCUGUUACACUGUGACAUGACUUUAUAACUCAUAAAAAUUAUGUUCAUGAACCAAAGUAAUAUGGAGUAUCAAAGUCACUAUCAGAAGAUAGUUAUACAGAAGAUGUUAGCUGGACAUGCCUGUAACCUUAGCACUUGAGAGAUGGAAACAGGAGGAUCAAAAAUUCGAGGCCAAUUUGGACAGAAUAAAACCCUGUUUUAAAAAAACAACUACC
rnacentral:lncRNA from 1 species